AGAUUGCAAAAUGGCGAGGGGGGAGGUGACACCAAGCUCGAUCAGAAACUAUGCCACUGGUGAAGAGGUAUAUUGAGCCCUGCGUGGCCCAGUGAGGUUACUAGAGAAUUGGAAGAGUCUCAAAUCAGCAUCCUGCACAUGGUUAUCAAACCAUUGUGAAGUCUUAGUAAGUGGUCAGUGGCUCUGGUGGGCUUGCCCAGUUAGUGUCUUAACAGGCACUAGGCAGUUACUUGAUAUUUUCCCAUUAUGAUAUGAAAAGUUUUUUGUUUUUUGUUUUUUUAGGGCUGUACCCGUGGCAUAUGGAGGUUCCCAGGCUAGGGUUCAAAUUGGAGCUGUAGCUAUAUGCAGGCCUACACCACCCACAGCUAUAGCAACUUGGGAUCCGAGCUGCGUCUGCAACCUACGCCACAGCUCACGAGAGUGCUGGAUCCUUAACCCACUGAGUGAGGCCAGGGAUUGAACCUGUGUCCUCAUGGAUACUAGUUGUGUUCUUAACCCACUGAGCCACAAUGGGAACUCCAAAAAACAGUCUUUAUUUCAGACUAGAGAGUGAUGAGCCUAAUCUCUCUCUUUCCCCGUCUCCCAUUUUUGCAGAUGAUAUCUUGCCCACCAUAAUAGUUGGUGUAGAAAAUGGAUUUGAAUCCAAGCCCAAUAUUGUUUCUUCCACCUAGUGCUUCCUCUAGAUUCCACCUAAGUCCAAGGAGGCGAUGUGAGACAGAAACAUUUUUAUUCCACAUGGAAAGAUUAUAAUAGCCUCUGACAUUGUGCUCCUCUGAUGAAGGAAAUGUCCAUGGUAUAAAUUUUUAUUGUGCAUAAAAUCACCUGGGAAGCUUGUUAAAAAUGCAGAUUCCUAGGCAGCUAGAAGCCUUGUCAUUGGUCCAGAGCAACAUGAAGACCUACUUGUCACUUACACUGAGGCUUCCUGCCCAGUGGGUUCACCAGCAAGCCAGAAGGAAGCAUCACUGCCAUGGAUGUCCUUGUGAGGCAGUUGUGAAGCCUUGGUCUUCAGCUUCCAUUUGACUUUCCAUCUUGUCCACUGAGGAUAGCAGAGUUAAGUCAGGAAAAGAAAAUGGUUGUCCACAGAGGGAGAACUGAUCACUGUCUGAUCUUCAAAGAUGCUUUUCUGGCCGUGGUUGGGGCUCUUAGUGCUCACUGCCUGGACAGAGACCUGUUUCAACAGGGAGAGCUUUAGAAACAACUUGUCAAGUUUUCACCACAAAUACCAUUGGAGUUACAAUUGGAGUCUCACUGAAUUAUAGAGUAAUUUUUGGAGAGCUAUCAUCUUUAUAAUCUUCUCAUACAUGAAUGUGGAGUUGCUGGUAGAAGACUUCAUGAAGGAGAGAAGAAAAGGAAAAAAUCAGAGGAUGACUACAGCCUCCUUCAUCUCAGCUUUUCAAAGCAUUACUCAACAGAGGGAUCACUCUCUUGAAUACUCUCCAGACCACAGGCCAUCAGUCUAUUACAGGCUCUAACUGGGAGGAGCCUUAUUGUGAAUGAAGCUUCGGUGGGUGCUAGGAGUAACACCGUGUUUCUCUGGAUAUGAGAAGAAUGGAGGGCAGAGAGCAAGGGAAGGAAGCUAUGAAAUAUUGGAGUAACAAAUGCUUGACGUUUUAGUGGGUAUUGGACCUAGAAGCCUAUAUGAUUGAAGGAAGCAAACCUGGAGAGGUCUGAUGUUUGUGAGUGAAGAUAGGAGUGAACUCCUUAUUGCAAUUAAAAAUGGAGUGAGGGGGAGGAAAAAAAUGACAGAAAUCAUAAGAUCCAUUACUUCAGUGAAGGAAGCACUGAGACUUGCUUCAUAAACCUGUAAUUUUUAAAGGUAGAUUGAAGAUAAGUUGUUGUGCUGCACUAUUUCUAUUCCUACCCGUGAGAGUUACUGCCAGCCACUCUUCUCAGGUAGAUCUGCCUUUAUGGAAAUUUCUGUUGACCCACGUAAAGAAACAACCCAGAAAAACAUUUGCAACAUUGAAGAACUCUGGUUCAGUGACAGGGUGUUAAAGGAGUCGAGGAUAGAGGAAAUAGCUCAAGUAGUACCAAAUAGCUCAGGUUGUUUUUUUUUUUUUCUUUUUAAUAGGAUGAUUGGGCCAGAGACAGUGGGCAGAAUGACUUCAGGCAACCCCAAACACCAGAUAUGGCAUAAGGAAACAGUUCAAGGAAAAGGUCAAUCCUUGGACCUAGUAUUUGUGAUGCAAUAUCUUAAAUUAAAAGGAAGAGCUGCUUUGGAGAAGGGUUUUAAAAGAUUGUAUUUCAUAGAAAGAAGAAAGAUUUGAGGAGAAACUUCCAAUUAUAUAAGAUGGGCAUUAUAACUAUUAAAGACAUCUGUUGCCUGCAUGGGUCAUAGAGAUUGAUACCAGUAUCAGCCUGUGGCUGACUAGGCCAGUUUAAGUGGUUUCCUGUUCGAAGAGAGAUGCUGCCAUUCUCUCACUUUGGCAGGUAUUCACCUGCAAUGAGUCCAGUACCUGGAGGAGCAAGAAAAAAACAAGCAUCCAGGGGGACAAUAGUAUAGCCUUCUGAGUUAAGAUAGCAACUGAAAAGAUCAUGGGAUUGGCUGCACUGGGCUGGGCUUGUUUGUUUUUUCAAAAUAAAAAAGUUUUCUUUUUGAUGACAAAAGUAAGAGAUGAUCAUUCUUUAAAAAUAAAGUGAAAAG
rnacentral:lncRNA from 1 species